rnacentral:rRNA from 1 species
AUGCAUGUACGCUCGGUGCUGUUAUGUGCACCCCAUGGUUCGUCCGUGCGUUUGCGUGCAUGGCGCAUGCAUGUGUGUCCGUUGUCGUCUGUUGGGUGUGUUUUGGAUACGACGCAGUCAUUUGAUCUGUGUUUUUUUCUAUCUUGGCUGUACCAAAUUUUUGUAGCUGUCGAUAGUUUUGUUUCCAGUGCUGAAUUUUUUGUAUUUGCAGAUGGAUUUGUUCCCAGUGCUGACGAGGCAACCGUUGCAUCUGGUGCUUCAUAUUUUUCAAUUUGGUUGCGUCGUACUUCGGUUGUUACUCAUCCACGUGUUGUUCCGCUUCGAUUUCUGCCCACACCGGUUGUCCAUGCUGCCGAUAGUGAUCGUGCUCGACGCAAGAGGAAAUUGAUUCGAUCAUAUCGGUCUGGGAGGAGUAAAGUUCGCGUGCUGGGACUCCCUAUCCCGAAGGAUUUGGUUCACCUCCUCAAGACUGUCGAGAGGGGCCGUUCGUAUUAUGGCAGUCCGGAUCUUACAUGUCGAUGGUGUGGGGCUUUUUAUUGGUUUCGUAAGGGCUCAACUUAUCACCGGACGCCUACUAUCCGAAGACCUGUUUCUACGGGUUGUUGCCGUAGUGGCAAGGUUUCUUUGCCGAAGUUCCGUUUUUGGCCUUCUCCAUUAGAUAGAUUGAUACGGUUUGAUGGAGACGUGAUUUCUAAUAGGUUCAUGCGGUUGAUUAGGCAAUAUAAUUCAAUGUUCUGUUAUACAUCCUUGGGUGCUCAUAUUGAUAACAGUAUCAAUGUUGGUGGUGCUCCCUUCGCGUUUAAGAUGAAUGGGGUGGUCUAUCACCGUAUCGGGCCUCUUGUGCCUCCUGAUGGGUUAUCACCAAAAUUUGCUCAAUUAUAUAUGAUUGAUUCAGGUGACAAGGUCGACAGCAGACUUAAUGUGUUUGCUAGGGAUGACGGCAGCUCUCUUUGUCCAGAUCCUAAAAUUGUUGCAUCUAUUAUAAGGAUGCUCGAUAUGUAUAAUCCUUUGGUUCAUAAAUUUAGGCUUGCUCGCCAGAGUCUCUGCAGCCCUGAUGCACCGAGGGUAUCUAUACGCCUUUAA